UAUAGUGCCCUGAGGGUGCCCCCACCCUCAGGGACCCCCUCCCGCCCGGCUCUGGAAAGGGGAAAGGGGUUUAAACUUACCUUUUUCCAGCGCUGGGCGGGGAGAUCUCUGCCUCCUCUCCUCCUCCUGGGCUGAAUGCGCACGCGCGGCAAGCGCUGCGCGCGCAUUCAACCCGUCGCAUAGGAAAGCAUUUACAAUGCUUUCCUAUGGACGCUUGCGU